CCUACGGGCGGCAGCAGUGAGGAAUAUUGGUCAAUGGACGAGAGUCUGAACCAGCCAAGUAGCGUGAAGGAUGACUGCCCUAUGGGUUGUAAACUUCUUUUAUAUGGGAAUAAAAUGUUGCACGUGUGGGAUUUUGUAUGUACCAUAUGAAUAAGGAUCGGCUAACUCCGUGCCAGCAGCCGCGGUAAUACGGAGGAUCCGAGCGUUAUCCGGAUUUAUUGGGUUUAAAGGGAGCGUAGGUGGAUUGUUAAGUCAGUUGUGAAAGUUUGCGGCUCAACCGUAAAAUUGCAGUUGAAACUGGCAGUCUUGAGUACAGUAGAGGUGGGCGGAAUUCGUGGUGUAGCGGUGAAAUGCUUAGAUAUCACGAAGAACUCCGAUUGCGAAGGCAGUUCACUGGACUGCAACUGACACUGAGGCUCGAAAGUGUGGGUAUCAAACAGGAUUAGAUACCCGAGUAGUC
rnacentral:rRNA from 1 species